rnacentral:rRNA from 1 species
GGCGGCGUGCCUGAUACAUGCAAGUCGAACGCUUCUUUUUCCACCGGAGCUUGCUCCACCGGAAAAAGAGGAGUGGCGAACGGGUGUGUAACACGUGGGUAACCUGCCCAUCAGAAGGGGAUAACACUUGGAAACAGGUGCUAAUACCGUAUAACAAUCGAAACCGCAUGGUUUUGAUUUGAAAGGCGCUUUCGGGUGUCGCUGAUGGAUGGACCCGCGGUGCAUUAGCUAGUUGGUGAGGUAACGGCUCACCAAGGCCACGAUGCAUAGCCGACCUGAGAGGGUGAUCGGCCACAUUGGGACUGAGACACGGCCCAAACUCCUACGGGAGGCAGCAGUAGGGAAUCUUCGGCAAUGGACGAAAGUCUGACCGAGCAACGCCGCGUGAGUGAAGAAGGUUUUCGGAUCGUAAAACUCUGUUGUUAGAGAAGAACAAGGAUGAGAGUAACUGUUCAUCCCUUGACGGUAUCUAACCAGAAAGCCACGGCUAACUACGUGCCAGCAGCCGCGGUAAUACGUAGGUGGCAAGCGUUGUCCGGAUUUAUUGGGCGUAAAGCGAGCGCAGGCGGUUUCUUAAGUCUGAUGUGAAAGCCCCCGGCUCAACCGGGGAGGGUCAUUGGAAACUGGGAGACUUGAGUGCAGAAGAGGAGAGUGGAAUUCCAUGUGUAGCGGUGAAAUGCGUAGAUAUAUGGAGGAACACCAGUGGCGAAGGCGGCUCUCUGGUCUGUAACUGACGCUGAGGCUCGAAAGCGUGGGGAGCAAACAGGAUUAGAUACCCUGGUAGUCCACGCCGUAAACGAUGAGUGCUAAGUGUUGGAGGGUUUCCGCCCUUCAGUGCUGCAGCUAACGCAUUAAGCACUCCGCCUGGGGAGUACGACCGCAAGGUUGAAACUCAAAGGAAUUGACGGGGGCCCGCACAAGCGGUGGAGCAUGUGGUUUAAUUCGAAGCAACGCGAAGAACCUUACCAGGUCUUGACAUCCUUUGACCACUCUAGAGAUAGAGCUUCCCCUUCGGGGGCAAAGUGACAGGUGGUGCAUGGUUGUCGUCAGCUCGUGUCGUGAGAUGUUGGGUUAAGUCCCGCAACGAGCGCAACCCUUAUUGUUAGUUGCCAUCAUUCAGUUGGGCACUCUAGCAAGACUGCCGGUGACAAACCGGAGGAAGGUGGGGAUGACGUCAAAUCAUCAUGCCCCUUAUGACCUGGGCUACACACGUGCUACAAUGGGAAGUACAACGAGUCGCGAAGUCGCGAGGCUAAGCUAAUCUCUUAAAGCUUCUCUCAGUUCGGAUUGCAGGCUGCAACUCGCCCGCAUAAAGCCGGAAUCGCUAGUAAUCGCGGAUCAGCACGCCGCGGUGAAUACGUUCCCGGGCCUUGUACACACCGCCCGUCACACCACGAGAGUUUGUAACACCCGAAGUCGGUGAGGUAACCUUUUGGAGCCAGCCGCCUAAGGUGGGAUAGAUGAUUGGGGUGAAGUCG